AUAUUGGACAAUGGGCGCAAGCCUGAUCCAGCCAUGCCGCGUGAGUGAUGAAGGCCCUAGGGUUGUAAAGCUCUUUCAACGGUGAAGAUAAUGACGGUAACCGUAGAAGAAGCCCCGGCUAACUUCGUGCCAGCAGCCGCGGUAAUACGAAGGGGGCUAGCGUUGUUCGGAAUUACUGGGCGUAAAGCGCACGUAGGCGGAUCGAUCAGUUAGGGGUGAAAUCCCAGGGCUCAACCCUGGAACUGCCUCUAAUACUGUCGAUCUCGAGUUCGAGAGAGGUGAGUGGAAUUCCGAGUGUAGAGGUGAAAUUCGUAGAUAUUCGGAGGAACACCAGUGGCGAAGGCGGCUCACUGGCUCGACACUGACGCUGAGGUGCGAAAGCGUGGGGAGCAAACAG
rnacentral:rRNA from 1 species